rnacentral:rRNA from 1 species
UGCGGAGGGAUCAUUACCGAGUUUACAACUCCCAAACCCAAUGUGAACGUUACCAAACUGUUGCCUCGGCGGGGUCACGCCCCGGGUGCGUCGCAGCCCCGGAACCAGGCGCCCGCCGGAGGAACCAACCAAACUCUUUCUGUAGUCCCCUCGCGGACGUAUUUCUUACAGCUCUGAGCAAAAAUUCAAAAUGAAUCAAAACUUUCAACAACGGAUCUCUUGGUUCUGGCAUCGAUGAAGAACGCAGCGAAAUGCGAUAAGUAAUGUGAAUUGCAGAAUUCAGUGAAUCAUCGAAUCUUUGAACGCACAUUGCGCCCGCCAGUAUUCUGGCGGGCAUGCCUGUCCGAGCGUCAUUUCAACCCUCGAACCCCUCCGGGGGAUCGGCGUUGGGGAUCGGGACCCCUCACACGGGUGCCGGCCCCGAAAUACAGUGGCGGUCUCGCCGCAGCCUCUCCUGCGCAGUAGUUUGCACAACUCGCACCGGGAGCGCGGCGCGUCCACGUCCGUAAAACACCCAACUUUCUGAAAUGUUGACCUCGGAUCAGGUAGGAAUACCCGCUGAACUUAAGCAUAU